UUGUCUCAAAGAUUAAGCCAUGCAUGUCUAAGUACAAGCCUCACUAAGGUGAAACCGCGAAUGGCUCAUUAAAUCACACCUAAUCUACUGGAUAGUCAACAGUUACUUGGAUAACUGCGGUAAUUCUGGAGCUAAUACAUGCACAAAGCCCCAAACUUACGUGAGGGGCGCUUUUAUUAGAUCAAAACCAAACGGCUUCGGCUGUUCUCUUGGUGACUCUGAAUAACUUUGGGCUGAUCGCAUAGCCUAGCGCUGGCGACAUAUCCUUCGAAGGUGUGCCCUAUCAACUGUCGACUGUGGCAUAGACGCCCACAGUGGUUUUGACGGGUAACGGGGAAUCAGGGUUCGAUUCCGGAGAGGGAGCCUUAAAAACGGCUACCACAUCUAAGGAAGGCAGCAGGCACGCAAAUUACCCCAUGACCGAAGGUCGAGGUAGUGACGAAAAAUAACGAUACGGGACUCAUCCGAGGCCCCGUAAUCGGAAUGAGUACACUUUAAAACCGUCCCCGAGGAUCUAUUGGAGGGCAAGUCUGGUGCCAGCAGCCGCGGUAAUUCCAGCUCCAAUAGCGUAUAUUAAAGUUGUUGUGGUUAAAAAGCUCGUAGUUGGAUCUCGGCAGUCCGAGGGCGGUUCGCUUGCUAGUGUUACUGCCUUAUGGACUGUAGUUUUGCCAGAGGUCUCGGGGUGCUCUUAACCGAGUGUCUCGUGAUGCUGGCAGGUUUACUUUGAAAAAAUUAGAGUGCUCAAAGCAGGCUUUUACGCCUGAAUAUUCGUGCAUGGAAUAAUGGAAUAGGAAGUCGUUUCUAUUUUGUUGGUUUUCGGAAAUCGACUUAAUGAUUAAUAGGGACAGUCGGGGGCAUUUGUAUUCAAACGACAGAGGUGAAAUUCUUGGACCGUUUGAAGACAAACUACUGCGAAAGCAUUUGCCAAGAAUGUUUUCAUUAAUCAAGAACGAAAGUUAGAGGUUCGAAGGCGAUUAGAUACCGCCCUAGUUCUAACCAUAAACGAUGCCAGCUAGCGAUCUGCUGACGUUUUUUUUGUAGACUCAGCAGGAAGCUUCCGGGAAACCAAAGCAUUUGGGUUCCAGGGGAAGUAUGGUUGCAAAGCUGAAACUUAAAGGAAUUGACGGAAGGGCACCACCAGGAGUGGAGCCUGUGGCUUAAUUUGACUCAACACGGGAAAUCUCACCAGGCCCGGACACUGGAAGGAUUGACAGAUUGAUAGCUCUUUCUUGAUUCGGUGGGUGGUGGUGCAUGGCCGUUCUUAGUUGGUGGAGUGAUUUGUCUGGUUAAUUCCGAUAACGAACGAGACUCUGUCCUGCUAAAUAGUGUCGGCCUCUCUUUUGGGCAGACAAUUCUUCUUAGAGGGACUGGCAACUCUCAGUUGCACGAGAUUGAGCAAUAACAGGUCUGUGAUGCCCUUAGAUGUUCUGGGCCGCACACGCGCUACACUGAAUAGAUCAACGUGUUCUCCCUUUCCGAGAGGAACGGGUAAACCGCUGAACCCUAUUCGUGGUAGGGAUCGGGGCUUGCAAUUGUUCCCCGUAAACCAGGAAUUCCCAGUAGGCGCAAGUCAUAAGCUUGUGUCGAUUACGUCCCUGCCCUUUGUACACACCGCCCGUCGCUACUACCGAUUGAACGUUUUAGUGAGGUCCUCGGACUGUUUGGUAGGCGGA
rnacentral:rRNA from 1 species